rnacentral:sRNA from 1 species
GCUGGGCGCGGUGACACAUGCCUGUAAUCCCAGUGGUGUAGGAGGCUGAGACAGGAGGAUCUCAAGUUCAAAGCCAGCCUCAGCAACCUGGAGGGGCAAGCAACUCGGUGAGACCCUGUCUCUA